CCCAAUUCUCUCUCCAAUCGAAACUGCUAGGAAGCAAAAAUGGGUGCUUGUCUUUCUUCAAAAUCACUUGAUUACCAGAUCCCUUCUGCAAACGUUGUUCUAAUGAAUGGAGAAUUACGCCAAUUUUCAAUUCCAACCACAGUUGUUCAGGUUUUGGAAUUUGUAAAUUCAGCAUUAGGUUCAUUCAUUUGCAACUCGGAUUGCUUGUAUUUCAACGAUUACAUACCUGCUUUGGCGCCAGAAGAUGCGCUCGAGGAAUCUCAGAUCUAUUUCGUGCUACCGAAAACGAAGCUUCAAUAUCGUUUGACUGCGUCCGACAUGGCUGCUCUAGCCGUGAAAGCCAGCGUCGCUCUUGACAAAAUGAACGCCGCUGCCUCAACGCAACGGCGGAAGAGAAAGUCCCGGAUUUCACCAGUUAUGGUUGUAGAUCAAAAUAUCCAACCCUAUCAGAAGAAGAGUUCUGUUAACAAUAACAAUGCAACGAAACCCUCAACGUCAGCGCAAUUAGGGGUUUCUAGAUCCAGGUCUGUGAGGAAAUUGCAUAAAUACUCUUCUCGGCGGGCUAAAAUGGCGGCCCGACCCUUCAGGAUUGGGCUAAGCACUAUUUAUGAAGGAUCUGUGGCAUAUGCUCCAGUUAACUGAUUCUUCAAUUUAAUUUUUCAUAUCUUAGCUUGUGAAAAAGCCAAAAAAAUGUACUAAAAAAAAGGGUAAACGAUGGGUGCACACAUUUUUGUUUUAUUUGGGAUUCUUCUGAAGAAAGAUUCUGUCUGUAAAUAUUCGUGUGACAUUUUGAUAUGGAGAUUACAUUCAAUUUCCGUGAAUUGGAAUUUUUUAUAGAGGAAAUUUUAUUUGGUGUCAAAAUUUGGCUAUGAAUUAUAAAAAAUGUCACCUUUCAAAUUUUCUAUCAAAAAUGUUAGUUUAGGACAUUUUUGACCCUAUGAAUUAUUUAAAUACCUUAUGUAUCCUUAUACAAAACUUGUGUAUUUUGUCGAAAUGAAUGACAAUAUGUUGGAAAUGAAAUGACAAUAUGUCAAAAUGAAAUGACAUCAUAGCUUUGAAAUCAUUUACCAUUGAACUGUCGUUCUCGACAGUUAGUAUCAGUAAUUUUCGACAGAUGUACUUAUCGAUAGAUCAGGUGAAGUUUUUGAUAGAUGAACUAUUGGAAACGACAGUUCCUUCCUUUACCUAAACUCAGUUCCACAAUUUGAACUUUGGUUCCAACAUUGCACGUGUGUUUCGCAUUAACAUGUAUGAAAUGUUAUGAUCUUAUGAUUUGUUGAUUGAUUCGUCGUUUUUAUGCUUGAUUAAUGCAUUCAUUUUCUGUGUUCAAGUUUCAGUGGUUUGUUUCGCAUUUUUUGUUCAUUAUUCUUGAUUGAUGAAUUCAUUUUCGCCUUGAAAUGUCAAUUUGGCUGCCCACAUGAAGUGGGUAGAGAUCUAUGUGCACGAGGACGAUUAUGAAAAAUUGCGCUCAUCAAUUGACUUUCAUGAUAUAACUUUGAUCAGAUUGAUAUUAUUAUUGCUUAUUUAUCUAUAAUGUAUGACUGCUUUUCACAUUAUUGGAGUCACAGGAUAAACAAUGAAUUUAUAUGAGAUACACGAUAGUUGUUUAUCAUUCGACAUUGUUGAUUGAAGUCAGAAUAUUUGUUAAUGCAUAGUCUUAUUCUUCACAUUUUUAUGUUUGAUAGUUUAAUCAUCGACACGUACUUCGACUUCGAUUUGGUAAGAUUGCUACCACUGUGUAGUAUGAUUCAAAUGCAUAUGAAAGCCAAUUUGGUAAGGUUGUUACCACUUAACAUUUGCAUAAAUAUUUUUGGUAUCUUUUCCCUCCAAAAAUAUUUCAAAAAUGAGGAGCAUCAUGAUUAAUAGUAGUUUCAAAAGCAUUAUUCACUUUGAUGAUCAUGUUAUUUUUAUCAUUUAAAAAAGAGUAAGCUAUUCGAUAAAAAUAAAAAAUAAUUCGUAAUAACUAACCUCUCAAAAUGGAUGAUAAAUCUAAUAGUAAUGUCUUCUUGAUCAAGGGAUAAAGAAGGUGGAUGAAGUGAGGGUUUAUUGAAGAUAUUUGUUUGAUGUUAAGUACGUUAUAUAUAUAUAUAUAUAUACGAGAUUGGAACGUAGCAUUAAAUGCUCGUAAAAGGGGACAUGAAAGGUAAGUUGGACAUUUCCCAACAAAAAGUGAUAUUUUUUUAUAAAAUUAGGUGCACAUGCAAAUUUUUUGUACAUUUUCACAAAAAAAAAUGACAUUUUUUACUAUUCCUCUUUUUUAUAUCAAUUUUUUCUAUUUCGGAAAAGCAAUUGGAUUUUUCCAUUAGGAUGCUUGACUUUUUGUGAGUUAUCCUUUUUGGAUAAGUAAUGCUAUUUAACACUUGAGGUCUUGAUUUGACUUGAAUCUUGAAAAGUCAAAGUUUAUUUCCGAAAUUAAAAUGUUAUUUUUGAAAAUAUUUUGAUAAUUUUUUAGAAUUUUUUUUCUUAAUUAGAAGAGUUUUUAAAUGAAGAUAAACUACAAUAGCUUUCUUGUGAAAAAUUUAUACAAGAAGUAGAAGCAUAACAGAAACUUUGCAAACGAAUCUUUAUACUCAUAUUGUAAUAUGAUGCUAUUUUGUCGUCUCGUUCUCGUCUUUUUUUGGACAGAAUAAAAAAAAAUAAUUUCUUUUUUCUUUUGAUAUCUCUGAGCUAAACAAAUUUUUAGAAAUUAUAUCGGGAGGAGUCAGCAUAUUCAAUUAUAAAUAGAACUAGUUUUUAUGUGGUUUCAGUGUCCUUUUGUGUUUCAAGUAGGACUGGAAAAAAUUCAAUUCAACCCAAUCAACUCGAUCCAAACCGAUCGAUUUGAGUUAUUUUUUAAGUUCAAUCAAGUUUGAUUGGGUUGAAAAAUUAAAUUUGAGGUUGGAUUGGGUUGGGUCUGGGGUUAUAAUUUAAAAUCCAAACCAACCCAAUCCAACGAAUUAUAAAAAUUAAUAUCUAGAUGAAAAACUAAAAAAUCUAAAUAAAUAAAAUAGUAAAGAUAUGAGGACUUGUAAUUUAUGAAAGUUUAUUUUCUUUAUAUAGAUUGAUUCACACGAACACUUUCUACAAAUGGGAUAUUAUUUGACAAUAAAGUAAAAAUUAAGAACAUGAUGAUGAAAUGAAUAAAUCCCCAAAAAUUGUAAAAAAGAAAAUGCUUAAUAAAUUUUAUUUAGACAAACAGACUUUGCUCAAUUAUAUCAUUUUUCAACAUUUCAAAUCAAACUUAGUCCCCGUUUGGCCCUCCAUUUUGUGAAAAUAAAAAUGGGAGGAAUAGUGUGUGUGUGUGUGUGUGUGUUUUUUUUUUUUUUUAAAUAAGUGGUUGAAAAAGAAGGAAAAAUUUUCGAUUUACAUGUAAUAUUAUUUAUAAAAGAUUGUGUGGUUGAAAAUAGGAGAGAAAAAUGAAUUGUAAUGGAAUGUAAAUUAUUGGAGGCCAAACGGGGGAUAUAAUUUGUCUUGGGCUAUUUUUCUCUCUCUAUUCUAGUUCAUCCGAAAUGUUCCUCUCAUACAAGGUAAGAUAAGUUUCUACAUGUACAUUUGGUCUGCUCGACUAGAGAAUAGAGUCCCAUAAAAUGUUUGUUCGUUAUCCCGUUUUAAAAAGUCUAAUAUGGACAUAUCAAAUAUUCGUUAUUGAUCUUUUUUAUUUGUCUUUAGUUUUUAUCUUUCGAUCUUUAUCCUUUUAAAUUAAAAUGUGAAAAUUACAUGUUCGAAUGUGCUUAAAAAUAGAUUCAUGUUUGAUUUAUUUUUUUCGUCAAAUACGAUAUUACUUUGUUUACUAACAAAACUUAUUUUUCUAGACUUAACUUACUUUGUAGAAGAAUAAUUUUUAAGUAUAGCAAUUUUGGACCGUUCACGCUCCACAAGUCAAUAUAUGUAUUCCGUCUACUUAAAUGAACGACGAAGUUAGCAAACGAAAAUCAGACACGACCAUUAAAUUUGUCGACAAUGAAAUGGGAGGAGAUUGCAUUAUUUUUUUCUUUUUGAUUUUUCAACUAAUUUUUAAUAAGACACACAUAAAUCUUUUCAACUAAGACCCUAUUUGGUACAAAUUGUUAAUUUUUUUUCCCAAACUCAUUUCUAAUUAUAUAUUUUCUCAAUAAAAUAAUUUUACACGUGAAAUCAUAUAUUUUUUUCCCAUUUUAACCUUUAAAAAAUCACUUUUAGCAAUUAUCAAAAAAAUUACAUCGAACAUGCCCUAAAAAUUACGAGCACCACAUAGAAAAAGAAAAACAUAAAUAAAUGAAGCAAUCAUGCUACAUGACUAAAAUCAAUUACUGAAAAGCAUUUUCAAACUACACUUAACAAUUUUUUAUUGAAGCACGAAAAAUAAUCGUAAAAUUACACAAUCAUAAACUGUCACAUCAGUCUGUUUUUUUUUUUUUUUUUUUUUAAUUUUUUUUCAGCUUUUUUUUUUUUUUUUUUUUUUUUUAAUGUUUGUUCAGCAUAAGCGAAGUCAAGCCCAGCCCUUGGUCUCCAAGCAAAUAAUAGGAGUUUUUAGUUUGUUUUUCUUAGAAGCUGACAUAUUGCAUCGUGUGUUUCAUUUCGUUAUGUCAUUGCUGAUUCUACCAAACUUCCACCCAUUUUCAUUUUUCAAUUCUGUGGCCCCCACACAUUUCUCUUUAUAAAAUCCCUUUCACUGCCUCACUUUCCGCCAUUCAUCCCCCGAUCCCCAAUUUUCUCUUCCAAUCGAAACUGCCAGAAAGCAAAAAAUGGGUGCUUGUCUUUCUUCAAAAUCAGUUGAUUACCAGAUCCCUUCUGCAAACGUUGUUCUAAUGAAUGGAGAAUUACGCCAAUUUUCAAUUCCAACCACAGUUGCUCAGGUUUCGGAAUUUGUAAAUUCAGCAUUAGGUUCAUUCAUUUGCAACUCGGAUUGCUUGUAUUUCAACGAUUACAUACCUGCUUUGGCGCCAGCAGAUGCGCUUGAGGAGUCUCAGAUCUAUUUCGUGCUACCGAGCACGAAGCUUCAGCAUCGUUUGACUGCGUCCGACAUGGCUGCUCUAGCCGUGAAAGCCAGCUUCGCUCUUGACAAAAUGAACGCCGCUGCC
rnacentral:lncRNA from 1 species